rnacentral:rRNA from 1 species
GACGAACGCUGGCGGCGUGCCUAAUACAUGCAAGUCGAACGCAGUGGGGACGGGUGCGUAACACGUGGGUCACCUCCCAUCAGAGGGGAUAACCCUUGGAAACAGGUGCUAAACCGCUACUGAUUGAUGGACCCGCGGUGCAUUAGCUAGUGGGUGAGGUAACGGCUCACCAAGCCCACGAUGAAUAGCAGACAUGAGAGGGUGAUCGGCCACACUGGGAAUGAGACACGGCCCAGACUCAUACGGGAGGCAGCAGUAGUGAAUCUGCGGCAAUGGACGAAAGUCUGACCGAGAAAAGCCGCGUGAGGGAAGAAGGUUUUCGGAUCGUAAAACUCUGUUGUUAGAGAAGCGGUAUCUAACCAGAAAGCCACGGCUAACUACGUGCCAGCAGCCGCGGUAAUUC